CCUUAGAUGUUCUGGGCCGCACGCGCGCUACACUGACAGGGCCAACGAGUUCCAACCUUGACCGAGAGGUCUGGGUAAUCUUGUUAAACCCUGUCGUGCUGGGGAUAGAGCAUUGCAAUUAUUGCUCUUCAACGAGGAAUAUCUAGUAAGCGCAAGUCAUCAGCUUGCGUUGAUUACGUCCCUGCCCUUUGUACACACCGCCCGUCGCUACUACCGAUUGAAUGGCUCAGUGAGGCCUUCGGACUGGCUCAGGGAGGUCGGCAACGACCACCCAGAGCCGGAAAGUUGGUCAAACUUGGUCAUUUAGAGGAAGUAAAAGUCGUAACAAGGUUUGAAUCGGUCCUUCCGUGACGCCCAUGAGAAGCCUUUGUGGCCCCGCAAGGGGUAUCAGCCGCGACUGAAAAGAAUGAUGUUGGUAUUAAAUCGCAAGUCGCGCCGCUCAGCGGCCGGCAACACUUUCGAAUUGCGGGGACACCCUAAAGCCCUCUCUACCAACCCGGACGGGAAACCGUUCGGGGGCCGCUGCUAACCGCACCGGGUAAGGUAAUAACGAGAUGGGAUACGUGGGCGAUCCGCAGCCAAAUCCCUAAAGCCGCCAGGCCAUGGGAAAGGUCCACAGACUAAGUGGAAGUGGGCUGACUUCGGUCAGCUUAAGAUAUAGUCGGGCCCGGCGGGAAACUGCCGGGGAGUCAUGCGACUCAGUAACAAACUGUUCCGUAGGUGAACCUGCGGAAGGAUCAUUAACAAAUGUCCUUUGACAAAGCUUUGUGCCGGUUCGCCGGCCAGAGUUUCAACCUUUUGUGAACAAACUUAUAUUCGCUUCGGCAGCUGGUCCGGGUUCGCGCCUGGCCGUCAGCCUGCCGGCAGCAACAAAUCAAACUUGCAUUUAUAACCUGUCUGAAACCAUUCUAAAUCUGAAUGAAAAUUAAAACUUUCAACAACGGAUCUCUUGGUUCUCGCAUCGAUGAAGAACGCAGCGAAACGCGAUAGUUAAUGUGAAUUGCAGAAUUCAGUGAAUCAUCGAGUCUUUGAACGCACAUUGCGCCCAUUGGUAUUCCGAUGGGCACGUCUGUUUGAGCGUCAUUGCAACCCCUCAGCCGGCUUCUGCCGGUGUGGUAUUGGGCCCGGGCACCCGUAUGGGGCUCCGGCUUUAAAGUUGCAUGCUCUGCGGACCCUGCCGCCCCAAGAACAUAGUAUAACGCUAACUGCUCUGAAAGGUGUGCUGGGCUUCCGCCUGAACAAACUCUCUUACUAAGGUUUGACCUCAGAUCAGACGAGGAUACCCGCUGAACUUAAGCAUAUCAAUAAGCGGAGGAAAAGAAACCAACAGGGAUUGCCUCAGUAACGGCGAGUGAAGCGGCAAUAGCUCAAAUUUGAAAUCUGGCGCCUUCGGUGUCCGAGUUGUAAUUUGAAGAGGAUGCCUCGGUUGUGGCCCCGGCCUAAGUUCCUUGGAACAGGACGUCGCAGAGGGUGAGAAUCCCGUACGCGGCUGACGGCUCACUUCCAUGUGUGGCUCCCUCGAAGAGUCGAGUUGUUUGGGAAUGCAGCUCAAAAUGGGUGGUAAAUUUCAUCUAAAGCUAAAUACUGGCGAGAGACCGAUAGCGCACAAGUAGAGUGAUCGAAAGAUGAAAAGCACUUUGAAAAGAGAGUUAAACAGUACGUGAAAUUGUUGAAAGGGAAGCGCUUGCAAUCAGACUCGCUUGCGGUUGAUCAACGUUCCUUCUGGUUCGUGCACUCUUCCGUUUGCGGGCCAGCAUCGGUUAGGACGGCGGGACAAAGGCGUCGGGAAUGUGGCCUUUCGGGGUGUUAUAGCCCGGCGCGCAAUGCCGCCUGCCCUGACCGAGGUCCGCGCUUCGGCUAGGAUGCUGGCUUAAUGGUUGUAAGCGAC
rnacentral:rRNA from 1 species